GUAGCUGCAAUUUAAAACAUCACGGCAUGAAAUGUACACAAUGUGGUUAAUAAAUAAAUCAAUGGCCCACACAUUGCGUUUAUACUUGUGCUGUGUUCGUAAAGGUGGCACGCAUUCUCCACACUGACCUGUACUUCCUGUUUACUUCAUCUGCUGUCAGAGCAUGGUCAAACAUUGUGACCUUGUACUGGUCAGGCAGCCGGGGCCCACUGUAGCUGGGACACUCCAGAGCGAUGGCUGCAUCCAGCAGAGAGAGAAGAGCUGCGAGCUAAAGAUGAGCUCGAGGGAUUUGUUGGAGGCCUGGGCCACACAGAUGGACAGCAUUUCGUCAAGCAGCACUAGCUCAUGCUCGCGCACGUUGCCUACAUGGCUCAAGGUGUGCUUCACCAAGCGCAGUACCUUCCUUUCCAGGUUCACGCGUUUGUCUACUUGCUCGUCUUGACCUCCGUUCAUUUUAGCAGAAACCAUCCCAUCUUCCACUGCAAAACCAGCUCCUUUUUCUGCCGAAGUGCAAGGACCUGUUGCCACCAUGGAAGCAGCACCAAUUUGUGCACAGAUCCCACCCAUCGUCGCCUCUGACAUUUCGGAUACCUUUGAGGUAGCAUUUUCUAAUGCCGCUGGGGCAUUUGCCAGCAUCGACUCUCCUGCUUCUGGCUCACUGGCUGUUGUGAGCAUGCGGUAAUAUGACAGCAACAAGAAUAGCGUUUGAGGAUGGCGCUCCCGCUCGAUGUUGCGCUCCAAACUGUUAAGGCAGGGCUCUACCAGGGGGUGGUUGUGUGGACUCAUAGGAUGCAGCUUCAUUACACUACUGAACAGCAUGGAAACAUCCUUUUGGUUGAAGUGGGCCAAUCGGGAAUGGGCCUCUUGCUCCAAAGUGCGCACAACAUCUGCAUUGCCCUGCAUCCCUGUUUUUGGCACAAGAAAAGCAAUGUGGCAUCAGUGUUGUGAACAGUUUUAAUACAAAAAACAAUGGUAUGGUUGCAAGUGGUUGUGGUUUAGCCUCUUAUUUUACACCAUAUCUGAUCAAAGCAUCACUGUCAUUCGCAACUGAAUAUAUAUUUUUACAAAAGCAAUUACUUACCAAGAGUUGCCAGUGCAUAGAGACAGUUGACUACGCUGAAGUUGUCAAACUGAGAACAGUUCUUUGCAACGGCUUCACAGAGUGCUUUGAAGUCUGGGCUGUCUUGCAGUUGCUUGUAGGCCGAUUCCACAGUCUGGCAAUUGCUGUUGCUGCCAUCACUCGUUCCACCUCGCUGUUGCUGGUGUUGUAGGAUGUGGCCGAGCCUCUGCAGGGCCACUGGGUAAUGGCUAGGAGCGACUUUUCCAGGAUUCUGUGCCAACCAGCGCAACACCUCCUCUGGGCUGCAGGAGCGCUCCAGCAGUCUCUUCAUGGUAAAGAACGUGUCAUAGCUCACCUUCUCCCGCCCCACCUGCCAUGCCUUCCUGGCUGCCACUGCCUGCGACUGAUGAGGUCGGUUGAAUCGACCAGUGACUGGCACACAGAACUGGCACAAAACACAAGGGGUCGUAUUUUACUAUUCAAUCAAUUCAAUGUUAAAUUUAUCACAACGGUAUGCAAACUCCAAUGCAGGUAACUAGGAUAUGAAUUGGCCCCUUCUAAAUAUUGUUACGCAUUUAACCGCGUGCAUGCAUUUGCAAGUAGUUAUUUUUACUCCGGACGCUGCUAUAAAAUAUAUAAUUUAUGCACAUGCAAUAUUUAUAGUACCUGGCUGACAAUGAAGGUGUGGAUGACACCAUAUUCCUACCUGCGCAUGGAAGGAAUCUUGGUGCAGGAACCCGUUUGACAGGCCCAAGAGGCGGCAUCCAAUACCCGCGGCAUGCUGCCGGCCUGACAGCAGGGCCCUGGGGGGCAACGGCGCGAUCAAGUGGCCAGCCAGGCCGCGCAGGUGCAGGCCGCGAGGCUGGUGGAAGGAUGCGAAGCGCGGAGCUCUCACGGGUUGUGGGAAGGCGUUCAUUUGUGCCUCGGAUCUCGCCAGUCCUCGCAGAAGCGCUAGCAUGUUUUGAACCCGCGCCGCUGUGCUGGGAGAUGGCCAGGCCGUUUCGUGCCCCUCGCUGCAGGCGCACACGCACAUCAUGGCCCUCACUCAAAUGUCACUCGGGAGUCUUAAUUUGUACGUUUCAUUGCAGCUGGCUUACACGAGCGAAGGUUGCAGCCCCUCUUCACAAGCGAAAUUGCUAUUUAUUUUAAACACAUUAAACGGUCAAGCUCGUUGGUAAUAAGAAACCGACAAUUAGGGGACGUCUAGUUCACGCAGAUGUUAAUCUGUGAUGAGCUGUCUCGGGUCAGGGAGCAGAUGUCUCAAAUACGUUUACGUGCAAUUUUUUUUUUAUUUACAGAUACGAAUAGGAAAUCGCGCAAUGCAAAUUUUUCAACCGGCCACAAUCGUUUUAAAACGGCAAACAUACACCACCUGCGCACGAGUCCUAUGCUCGUUCGGCAAGGAUCACUGAUGGUAAUCGGGUUUGUUACCAUCUCAAAAGUCGAAUCAAGAUGAAAAUCAACAAAAUGCUGCGACCACCGUGGGGUCCAAGCCACGGUAGUGAAACGUUGGGAAGUGGCGUUGAGACUUAAAUCGCAUCGUGGGGGUCCUAAGAGAGGCAUAUAAACACUGGGUGAUCACGAACCUGAGAGGCUCGGGUUGUUUCCUUAAUGGACAAAGUGGUCGAGCUGGUUCAAUAGAACGAGUAGACCCAACGUAUUCCCUAACACAAAAAUAAAAACCAUACAAGAAAAAGGGCGUGAGAAAAGUCGAAAGGGUUUUCUAAACGUGGGGGCAUUAGGCGACAUCUUGGGGACACGUCUUAAACACCAGGGCCGGGUCGCAUCCAACAUGAGGAAGAUUCCCCUUCAGUUUCUGAAAUGUAAUUGUAUAUUUGCGCUGUUCUACGCGACCCGGGGCCAGGGCUGCCCCGAGUUCUCCCACUGCUUCCUCGACCCCCAACUCUUCAACUUCACCGGCGUCAACUUCACUAAAACUCGAGGCACUUCCCUGCGAGCGUGACGUCACUCCCCCACCGGGCAGGCCUUACCGGUGACCGCCAAAUAAUCAUCCGUGACAAUGGAUGAAUAAUCAGCGCGCUUACGUUUACAGCGAUAAUCGAACAGCUUAACGUCCCGGGCGCCACGACCACCCGAGUGGGUUGGUGAGGCGGUGUUGGGGUUGGGGAGGAGGAGGCGGCGGCGGCGCACGACCGGAGCCCGCCUCGGCUCGAGUCCCCGGGCAGCCUGCGUCGUGGCCCCGCGCCAAACCCUCUCCAAUCCCCGGCGGAGGCUCGGGGAACCGCAAUCCCGGCCGCCGACAACGCCGCUCACCUCGCCGCCGCCGCGACGCCGCUAACGCCACGCUCAUGACUCCGGUGUCGAGCGCUCGGCGUGUCCCGUGGAGAGCGACAUCUUCACCCCCCCCCCUACCAGCUUCCGGGUCAGAUUCGCCGCUUCCGGGUUAGGCUCGUCGCUUCCGGGUCGGAGCCAAUCCGGAACUUAGCCACGCCCCUCUCCACCCACUUCCGCCGCCCCCACCCCGCCCGCAACGCCUCUCCCAAUCACGUGCCGAGUUAAAGCUUUGCCCACGCGAUUUGAUGGUGACGUCCGCGAUUCGGGAGUGGCGAUUCGUUGCAAGAAUCGAUUCGUUUCGGAUGUCGGAUUCAUGUGGCUGCAUUCUUGCGUUUUACGAGAAUCGACGCUCAUUGCUAACUACACAGAUGUAUUCAUCUUCCUUGGGUCUUUCGGUAAAGUCACGUAGAAUGAGAAUAAAAUAAUAAAAUAACACAAUCAAAUUCUCACGACGUUUCGGCCACAACAUAAGUGGCCUUCUUCAGGUGAAAGGAACAACCUAUCGGGACGACAGAGCUACAAUACACCUUUACAGGUGUACACCUUUACAGGUGUAUUGUUACUCGAACGUCUUUUUCGAUGAGUGGAGCCGCACCGUAAGCCGCAGGGAUCUGUCUCGAUUGGCAUAUGGACCCUUGGAUGCAUGAUUAUGAAUGUGCUAUGAAGGAGGGCGAUUUGCCCGAAACGUCGCCUUCGAUAUACAGUAUUAUAUUUUCCCGUUCAGGAAGUUUUGUUGUCAAAUUUGUUGAGGGUUUUCAAAAUAAUUUAUGAGAUUGUUGUGAUAAAUAAUAAAUACGUUGUCGUGCA